CAGAUGGAAGACGCCAGAGCCUUAAACCAGUCGUGCACUCACCUGCCUUGACGCUCCGUCCGAAGAAUCACCUCCAGAAUCACUAGGCUCAGAUUUUGCUCUGGUGCUCCCCCUCUUGUUCCUUGGAAGUUACCCAGCCGGGCUUGAGGUCCCCCUCCCGGAUUCUGGUGGUCCCGCUUCAACUCUGGUUAAUCCAUCUGUCACUCGACCCAGCGGAGGCUUGCUCCGGAUCCCUCGUCAGCCGCUGCUGCUGCCCUCCAGCCACUAGCCACCUAGUCCAUCUAGAGCAGGCUCACAGGGUUCCCUCGGCACUUACUCCUCCCCGGUUAGGUCCGCCCGGCUAAUGGUAAGCAGAGCACGUUCUGACAAUUACUGGAUUCUAGCCGUCGAUCUAACAACUCCGUUCUCUUGCAGUCUCCUCCGCUUCGACGUUCAGACCUCGCUGCUGCAGUCAUUAUUUUGUCCUUGUUAUUUGUACAUUUCCUAAUAAACUGUUUAAAGCUA